AUGUUGCUUGCAAAUGUAAAUCUGAGUUAUAUCAUGGAAAAGGAAUCAAUGGUCCCUAAGAACAUUAUGGGUUAUAUGGAAAAUCGGAACAUUGGUGACUGUUCUUCGGAAAGGAAUAAAAAGUGGAUGAUGAAUUUGCAAGACGUUUUGGCCAAAAUCGCUAAACUGUCAGAGGAUAGCACGAUGGCUGCUGACGAGGACGCGUGGUUACGUUCACCAGGAGACGUGGCCUUGCAUUUGAGAUCGUUGGACGUACACAUAAUCAAGAAAGCGACUGAAGAACUGAAGAAGAGGAUGAACGAGAUAGAGAGGAAAAAUGAAAUCCUGAUGAAGACCAUCGCGGAAAGUAGAUCGAGGAUACGCGCGGCGAACAACAAUGUGGCGAAAAUUUUGGAUCAUGUGCCCGUUGCUUGACAACGGUUGGAGAAAACGAAUGAGCAAUUGGCGACUUGCUUGAUAGCAAUUGAUAGUGAAUGA